rnacentral:tRNA from 1 species
GCGGCGUUCGUCUAGUCUGGCUAGGACAUCAGCCUGCCACGCUGAGAACCCGGGUUCAAAUCCCGGACGCCGCA